AGCGAACCCCAAAAACGACCGUCUCAGUUCGGAUCGCAGGCUGCAACCCGCCUGCGUGAAGUCGGAAUCGCUAGUAAUCGCGGAUCAGCAUGCCGCGGUGAAUACGUUCCCGGGCCUUGUACACACCGCCCGUCACACCAUGAGAGUCGGGAACACUCGAAGUCCGUAGCCUAACCGCAAGGAGGGCGCGGCCGAAGGUGGGUUCGAUAAUUGGGGUGAAGUCGUAACAAGGUAUC
rnacentral:rRNA from 1 species